CCUACGGGAGGCAGCAGUGAGGAAUAUUGCGCAAUGGGCGAAAGCCUGACGCAGCAACGCCGCGUGAGGGACGAAGGCCUUCGGGUCGUAAACCUCUUUUCUGAGGGACGAGACCAGGACGGUACCUCAGGAAUAAGUCUCGGCUAACUACGUGCCAGCAGCCGCGGUAAAACGUAGGAGGCGAGCGUUAUCCGGAUUUACUGGGCGUAAAGCGCAUGCAGGCGGCUUCGUUAGUCGGAUGUGAAAGCUCCCGGCUUAACUGGGAGAGGCCAUUCGAUACUGCGAGGCUUGAGGUUGGAAGAGGGGUGCGGAAUUCCCGGUGUAGUGGUGGAAUGCGUAGAUAUCGGGAGGAACACCUGUGGCGAAAGCGGCACCCUGGUCCACACCUGACGCUGAGAUGCGAAAGCGUGGGUAGCAAACAGGAUUAGAUACCCUGGUAGUCCACGCUGUAAACGAUGUCAACUGGGUGUCGGUGGUUUUACACUAUCGGUGCCGAAGCAAACGCGUUAAGUUGACCGCCUGGGGACUACGGCCGCAAGGCUAAAACUCAAAGGAAUUGACGG
rnacentral:rRNA from 1 species